AUACGUAGGGGGCGAGCGUUGUCCGGAAUGAUUGGGCGUAAAGGGCGCGUAGGCGGCUUUGCAAGUCAGUAGUGGAAGUCCAUUUUUCAAGGAUGGAAGUGCUACAGAAACUGCGGAGCUUGAGUGCAGGAGAGGUUAUCGGAAUUCCCGGUGUAGCGGUGAAAUGCGUAGAGAUCGGGAGGAAACCCAGUGGCGAAGGCGGGUAACUGGACUGCAACUGACGCUGAGGCGCGAAAGCGUGGGGAGCAAACAGGAUUAGAUCCCCUGGUAGUCCACGCCGUAAACGAUGUCAACUAGCCGUUGGGGGACUUGAUCCUUUAGUGGCGAAGCUAACGCGAUAAGUUGACCGCCUGGGGAGUACGGCCGCAAGGUUAAAACUCAAAUGAAUUGACGGGG
rnacentral:rRNA from 1 species